rnacentral:rRNA from 1 species
GGGGGGACCAUCCUCCAAGGCUAAAUACUCCUGACUGACCGAUAGUGAACCAGUACCGUGAGGGAAAGGCGAAAAGAACCCCGGCGAGGGGAGUGAAAAAGAACCUGAAACCGUGUACGUACAAGCAGUGGGAGCACCUUCGGGUGUGACUGCGUACCUUUUGUAUAAUGGGUCAGCGACUUAUAUUCUGUAGCAAGGUUAACCGUAUAGGGGAGCCGCAGGGAAACCGAGUCUUAACUGGGCGUUAAGUUGCAGGGUAUAGACCCGAAACCCGGUGAUCUAGCCAUGGGCAGGUUGAAGGUUGGGUAACACUAACUGGAGGACCGAACCGACUAAUGUUGAAAAAUUAGCGGAUGACUUGUGGCUGGGGGUGAAAGGCCAAUCAAACCGGGAGAUAGCUGGUUCUCCCCGAAAGCUAUUUAGGUAGCGCCUCGUGAACUCAUCUUCGGGGGUAGAGCACUGUUUCGGCUAGGGGGUCAUCCCGACUUACCAACCCGAUGCAAACUACGAAUACCGAAGAAUGUUAUCACGGGAGACACACGGCGGGUGCUAACGUCCGUCGUGAAGAGGGAAACAACCCAGACCGCCAGCUAAGGUCCCAAAGUCAUGGUUAAGUGGGAAACGAUGUGGGAAGGCACAGACAGCCAGGAUGUUGGCUUAGAAGCAGCCAUCAUUUAAAGAAAGCGUAAUAGCUCACUGGUCGAGUCGGCCUGCGCGGAAGAUGUAACGGGGCUAAACCAUGCACCGAAGCUGCGGCAGCGACACUAUGUGUUGUUGGGUAGGGGAGCGUUCUGUAAGCCUGCGAAGGUGUGCUGUGAGGCAUGCUGGAGGUAUCAGAAGUGCGAAUGCUGACAUAAGUAACGAUAAAGCGGGUGAAAAGCCCGCUCGCCGGAAGACCAAGGGUUCCUGUCCAACGUUAAUCGGGGCAGGGUGAGUCGACCCCUAAGGCGAGGCCGAAAGGCGUAGUCGAUGGGAAACAGGUUAAUAUUCCUGUACUUGGUGUUACUGCGAAGGGGGGACGGAGAAGGCUAUGUUAGCCGGGCGACGGUUGUCCCGGUUUAAGCAUGUAGGCUGGUUGUCCAGGCAAAUCCGGAUAAUCAAGGCUGAGGUGUGAUGACGAGGCACUACGGUGCUGAAGUAACAAAUGCCCUGCUUCCAGGAAAAGCCUCUAAGCAUCAGGUAACAUCAAAUCGUACCCCAAACCGACACAGGUGGUCAGGUAGAGAAUACCAAGGCGCUUGAGAGAACUCGGGUGAAGGAACUAGGCAAAAUGGUGCCGUAACUUCGGGAGAAGGCACGCUGGUGUGUAGGUGAAGUCCCUGCGGAUGGAGCUGAGACCAGUCGAAGAUACCAGCUGGCUGCAACUGUUUAUUAAAAACACAGCACUGUGCAAACACGAAAGUGGACGUAUACGGUGUGACGCCUGCCCGGUGCCGGAAGGUUAAUUGAUGGGGUUAUCCGUAAGGAGAAGCUCUUGAUCGAAGCCCCGGUAAACGGCGGCCGUAACUAUAACGGUCCUAAGGUAGCGAAAUUCCUUGUCGGGUAAGUUCCGACCUGCACGAAUGGCGUAAUGAUGGCCAGGCUGUCUCCACCCGAGACUCAGUGAAAUUGAACUCGCUGUGAAGAUGCAGUGUACCCGCGGCAAGACGGAAAGACCCCGUGAACCUUUACUAUAGCUUGACACUGAACAUUGAGCCUUGAUGUGUAGGAUAGGUGGGAGGCUUUGAAGCGUGGACGCCAGUCUGCGUGGAGCCAACCUUGAA